ensembl:snoRNA
CUGCACCGUUCGUAACCUGGUUCAGGUUCCGUGUGAACUCGGGUUCCAUUCCGGUGCUAGAGCAGCUCCGGUGAGGCAGGGGGGCGGCGCCCUCCUGCGCCCUGCUCCCCGUUCACUCUCCGGGAACACCG